rnacentral:tRNA from 1 species
GGGGCUGUAACUCAACGGCAGAGUGUUUGCCUAGCAUGCUUGAGGUACUGGGUUCAAUCCCCAGCACCA